GGGGUCUGAUCAUGUCUAGAAAGAGGAUUCUAUUAGUCCAAAAAUGAGUCAUGAUUCUUGAAAAUGGCAGAUACAUAGUUUCUCUCUAAUUUUGUGCCAGUCAUACUGAAGGAAGCCAUUGUCCACUAAUCUUUUGAUGUGAUGACCAACAAUCCCAAUGCACCUAUCAAUAUAUACUUGAUAAUUGGUUUUUCGGUCAUGAUUAUCGUUACCCAACCAACAUAAGGCAAGAACCCAACA
rnacentral:misc_RNA from 1 species